UUUGAGUCAAACAACAUCCAACUUGUAACUAAAUCCUUCCAGACACCCCUAUAAUAUUUAGAGAAAUAUAUAUUUGUAGUCCUAAAAAAAUUAACAGCCAAAUUUAAUAGUCAUAAACUUUAAAAAAUAGUAGAGAAUUCCUGUCUUGUUUUCCACAUGGUUAUUUCCUCCAUUGAUAUAUACAAAUUUUCUGCUCAUUUCGUCUUUUUGGUCUCAUUUAACAUAUAAUAGUAAAAUAAAAGGAAAAGACUUCUCUUAUAGAUUAUAUAGAAAAUACUUAUAUACAA
rnacentral:lncRNA from 1 species